rnacentral:rRNA from 1 species
CGCGUAGGCGGCCUUGUAAGUCAGACGUGAAAGCCCGGGGCUCAACCCCGGAAGUGCAUUUGAUACUGCAAGGCUUGAGUAUGGGAGAGGGAAGUGGAAUUCCUGGUGUAGAGGUGAAAUUCGUAGAUAUCAGGAGGAACACCGGUGGCGAAGGCGACUUCCUGGACCAAUACUGACGCUGAGGCGCGAAGGCGUGGGGAGCAAACA